rnacentral:rRNA from 1 species
ACAAGCGGUGGAGUAUGUGGUUAAUUCGAUGCAACGCGAAAACCUUACCUGCCCUUGACAUCCUCGGAACUUGUCAGAGAUGACUUGGUGCCUUCGGAACCGAGAGACAGGUGCUGCAUGGCUGUCGUCGGCUCGUGUCGUGAGAUGUUGGGUUAAGUCCCGUAACGAGCGCAACCCUUGUCCAUAGUUGCCAGCACGUAAAGGUGGGAACUCUAUGGAGACUGCCGGUGACAAACCGGAGGAAGGUGGGGAUGACGUCAAGUCAUCAUGGCCCUUAUGGGCAGGGCUACACACGUACUACAAUGGUCGGUACAAAGGGCUGCCAACCCGCGAGGGGGAGCCAAUCCCAGAAAACCUGUCUCAGUCCGGAUUGAAGUCUGCAACUCGACUUCAUGAAGGCGGAAUCGCUAGUAACCGCGAAUCAGCAGGUCGCGGUGAAUACGUUCCCGGGCCUU